AAUAACACGGAUGCAUCUGCUAGUGGCCUCGUAAUGAACAGCGAGAGCCUUUGGGAGCUGGGGAACGGCAUUCCCGGGGGAGCAGCACUUGGGGCAGGAGCACCCACGGCAGCCUGGUCAGGACCAGCACCCAUCAGCAGCCCGGCGGUGGGAGCUCGCUGCUCCAGGGACACGGCACAGGCACCUCCGGGCACAGAGCAUGCUGGGUUUCCAUCUCCCUCCACCAUGCCUGCAGGGAUGGGAGCACGCGGAGGCUUCGCCCAGCUCCUGGGCACCACUCGCUGCUGCAGGCAGCCACGCUGCUCGGCCCAGGAGCAUCUGUGUGACCGAACAUUCAUCAGUUUGCCCUGCCUUUAACCAGAAGGUUGUUGAAGGAACAUGAUGGAAUUAAGUAAAUCCAAGCUGGAAAUCUCCAGUGAGAGGAGACAGUACAAAAACUAAGAGGAACAGAAAACGAAAUGCUGACUGUCAAACCCUUUGGUGGGUUUCUGCUCUUUGCUUUCAGAAAUCUGGAAGCCAAGGGAAGCAGAGCCAGUACGCUGCGCUCAGAGCGAGCCUCCUCGCGAGCAAUCCUUCUGUCAGUGCCUUCACUUUCCUCUUCCUUUCUGCUUUUCUUCUAACCCCCCAGUGGUACUUCUAGCUGCUUUGGUUUCUCUAAACAUUAUCUUUUCCGCAGUUGAUGGGCUGUUGAAAUAUGAAGUCCAUAAAUCACUGGAUAAUGUCA